GAUGAACGCUGGCGGCGUGCUUAACACAUGCAAGUCGAACGAGAAAUGUAGACGGACACCUUCGGGCGGAAGCCUUCAUUUCGAGUGGCGGACGGGUGAGUAACGCGUGGGUAACCUUCCUCAUACAGGGGGAUAACAGUUGGAAACGACUGUUAAUACCGCAUAAGACCACAGCAUCGCAUGAUGCGGGGGUAAAAACUCCGGUGGUAUGAGAUGGACCCGCGUUCGAUUAGCCCGUUGGCGGGGUAACGGCCCACCAAAGCGACGAUCGAUAGCCGAUCUGAGAGGAUGGCCGGCCACAUUGGGACUGAGACACGGCCCAAACUCCUACGGGAGGCAGCAGUGGGGAAUAUUGCACAAUGGGGGAAACCCUGAUGCAGCGACGCCGCGUGAGUGAAGAAGUACUUCGGUAUGUAAAGCUCUAUCAGCAGGGAAGAAAAUGACGGUACCUGAGUAAGAAGCCCCGGCUAACUACGUG
rnacentral:rRNA from 1 species